UCGAGCGGUAAGGCCCUUCGGGGUACACGAGCGGCGAACGGGUGAGUAACACGUGAGCAACCUGCCCCCGACUCCGGGAUAAGCGGUGGAAACGCCGUCUAAUACCGGAUACGACGCCCCGCCUCAUGGCGGGGGGUGGAAAGUUUUCUCGGUUGGGGAUGGGCUCGCGGCCUAUCAGCUUGUUGGUGGGGUAACGGCCUACCAAGGCGAUUACGGGUAGCCGGCCUGAGAGGGCGACCGGCCACACUGGGACUGAGACACGGCCCAAACUCCUGCGGGAGGCAGCAGUGGGGAAUAUUGCGCAAUGGGCGAAAGCCUGACGCAGCGACGCCGCGUGGGGGAUGACGGCCUUCGGGUUGUAAACCUCUUUUACCACCAACGCAGGCCCGGGGUUCUCUCCGGGUUGACGGUAGGUGGGGAAUAAGGACCGGCUAACUACGUGCCAGCAGCCGCGGUAAUACGUAGGGUCCGAGCGUUGUCCGGAAUUAUUGGGCGUAAAGAGCUCGUAGGCGGCGUGUCGCGUCUGCUGUGAAAGACCGGGGCUUAACCCCGGUUCUGCAGUGGAUACGGGCAUGCUAGAGGUAGGUAGGGGAGACUGGAAUUCCUGGUGUAGCGGUGAAAUGCGCAGAUAUCAGGAGGAACACCGGUGGCGAAGGCGGGUCUCUGGGCCUUACCUGACGCUGAGGAGCGAAAGCAUGUGGAGCGAACAGGAUUAGAUACCCUGGUAGUCCAUGCCGUAAACGUUGGGCGCUAGGUGUGGGGACUUUCCACGGUUUCCGCGCCGUAGCUAACGCAUUAAGCGCCCCGCCUGGGGAGUACGGCCGCAAGGCUAAAACUCAAAGGAAUUGACGGGGGCCCGCACAAGCGGCGGAGCAUGUUGCUUAAUUCGACGCAACGCGAAGACCUUACCAAGGUUUGACAUCACCCGUGGAUCUGCAGAGAUGUGGGGUCAUUUAGUUGGUGGGUGACAGGUGGUGCAUGGACUGUCGUCAGCUCGUGUCCUUGAGAU
rnacentral:rRNA from 1 species